rnacentral:tRNA from 1 species
GGCAGUGUGGUAUAGUGGUUAAGAGUGUCAGACUGGUACCCAGAAGACCUGGGUUUAAAUCCCCACUCUACCA